rnacentral:lncRNA from 1 species
AAAACUGACCCCUCGUAGAGAUGUCAAUGGAUCGGAUUCGGGGCGAAUUUUUAAAAAAUCCGAACCCGAACCCGACUCCAAAUCCGAGACCCGAAUCUGAACCCAAACCCAACGGAUUUUAAAAAUCCAUAUCUAAACCCGAACCCGACAAAAAAUCCGAAACCCGAACCCGAACUCGAACUCGAAAAUUUGAACCCGAAACAAUUAUUUCUUUUUUUAAUAUUUCAAAAAAUAUUAUAUUAAAUCUAAAUUUUUAAAAUACAAAUUCAAAUAUAACAUCAAAUUUUUUUAUAUAUAUUAUAUAUAAUAUAAAAUAAAUUCGGGUUCAGGUCGGGUUCGGGUCGGAUUUGGGUUCGGAUCGGAUACAAUCAAAAUCUAUAUCCGAAUCCAUAUCCGUCGGGUUUCUAUUUUUGAUAUUCAUAUCCGAAUCCAUACCCAUAUCUAUCGAAUAUAUCCGUUUCAUUCGGAUUCGGAUUCGAAUAAAAUUUCGGAUAUCCAUACCAAUUAACAUCACUGGUCCCUCGCUGCAAAAAAAACACA